UUUCCCUGGAGCAGAGAGUGAAAUGUUUUUAAUUUGCAGUCCAAUUGGAGGGACUGUUGAGAGGAUAUUGGAGUCUGUCUUCCACCUAUCUGAGAUGGUUAUCAGGAAUGUUGUGUAUGCAGGGCCUUUAGCAUUGUCAGUGAUCUCUCCCAUCCGCCCAACUAUCCCUUUACCAUCAGGCAGGAGGUACCAUACCAUUAGGACAAGAACUGUUAGAGUGAGAGACAGCUUCUUCCCCCCAGACUACUAAACUCCCUGCCACCAUCCAGGUCUCAUCACAUGUGAAGUGCCAGUUGUGUUAUUACUUUUUAACUUGUAUAUGCAUAUUAUUGUUUGUCCUGAUGAAGGGUCUUGGCCCGAAAUGUCAACUGUACUAUUUUUCCAUGGAUGCUGCCUGGCCUGCUGAGCUUCUCCACCAUUUUCUGUGUGUUACUUGGAUUUCCAGCAUCUGCAGAUUUUCUCUUGUUUGUGUUUGGUGUCAGUAGAAGCCUCUCCUGAUUUUGUGUCAGCCUGAAUGAUUUGAGACACGUCAAUGAAAUCUCCCCUUGACCAUUGCUGCCCAGGUAAUGCCCAACUCUGUUACCACUAUAGGGGAUCAUCUGAUACAUUUGUGCGCCCCUCCCACAUUCAGAAAACCUU